AGGCUGGCGUGCCGCGGAGGGGGCGGGUUUGUUGUGUUUUGCCUCCCCUCUCUUUUUUAGGUAAAAAUGCGCGGGCUCACCGGCCACGCCUGGGGGUGGGGCUCGAGCGGGCUCUUGUCCCGGGCGGCCCCGCGGAUCGGUGGGUGGAGAAUUAGUUUGGAGGAUGGUUGCAGCCGCGGGGUUGCGGUAAAUAGGUCUUCGUGCAGGUGGGGUCGGACACAGGUCGUGUCCCUUAGGGGUCCGUCCCGGGACAGUGCUCUUCAGCAUCUUUAUCGGUGAGCUGGGUAGUGGGAUCGAGUGCACCCUCAGCGAGUUUGCAGACGACGCCAAAUUGAGUGGUGCAGCUCGUACAGUAGAACGGACACCGUCCAGAGGGCAGGCUUGAAAAGUGAUCCCGUGGGAACGUAAUGAGGUUCAACCAGGCCAAGUGCAAGGUGUUGCAUUUGGGGCAAUCCCAGUUAUGAACACAGACUGGGAGGAGAAUGCACUGAGAGCAGCCCUGCGGAGAAAGACUCAGGUGUCCUGACGGAUGAAAAGCUAGACAUGAGGCAGCAGUGUGCACACAGCCCAGAGAGCCAACAGUAUCCUGGGCUACAUCACAAGAAGAGUGGGCAAUGGGAAGAGGGUGGGGAUCGUUCCCCUCUGCUCUGCCCUCAUGAGGCCCCAUCUGGAGUACUGCAUCCAGGUCUGGGGCCCCAGCAUAAAAAAAAAUGGAACUGGUGGAGCAGUUCCAGAGGAGGGCAGGAAGAUGCUCAGAGGGCUGGAGCACCUCUCCUGUGAAGACAAGAUGAGGGAGCUAAGCUUCUUCAGCCUGGAGAAGGCUCCAGGGAGACCUCAUUACAGGCUUUUUUUUAACUACUUAAAAGAAGCUUAUAAGCAGGAGGGAAAUCAACUUCUUCAUGGUCUGGUAGUUGAGAGGUCAAGGGAGAAUGGUUUAAAACUAAAAGAGUGGAGAUUUAGAUAGCAGGGGGGAAAAAAAUUACUGAAGAGGACGGUGAGGCGCUGGCACAGCUGCCCAGAGAAGCUGUAGUGCCCCAGCCCUGAAGGUGCGCAAGGCCAGGUUGGAUGGGGCCCUGGGCAGCAGAGCUGGUGAAGGGCAGCCCUGCCCAUGGCAGGGGUUGGGAUGGGUGGGCUUUGAGCUUCCUUCCAUUCUGUGAUUUUAUGAAAUGGAAGCAAAGAGAUCUGUUUCUGGCCCUUUCAUUUUCACUGUCAGUUUGUCCCUGAAUGAGAAAGGAAAUCCGCACACUGCAGAAGGGCUCACGAAGCAUUACCUUUAUCAAUCUUCCCAACUAAGAAAUGCACAACAGCAUGAGCUGGGGAACCUUUGAGUAAUACAGGAGUGAAUUGUUUGUAAGAUGUACAGUCGUCUCAUGCUUUCUUACCUGUCUGUGCAGAUUCCUCCUUACAUGAAGUAAUCCAAAUGUUAUUGUUCUCUUUUGCUAUUUACUGUACUCCUACUUAUCUGACAGUUCAGAGAUGCAUAACCAAAAGCUACGUAAACGUGUAACUGCUCUACGUGGGCAGAGUUCCUAACAGCAGGGGCUGAUGUUGCUUCUCUGUUUUGUCUUUCAGCUGUAGUAGUGGAUUGCUUCUGUUGUGAUCCAAGUGAAAUUGUAAUUCUGAGUAUUUGGUAACAUCAUUUGUAGGAAAUAAAAAAAACAAAACAAAUCAUGUCAGAGAUUUGCAACUGUUUGCUCAGGUGCAAACCCCAGACCUCAAGAGAUGACAUCAGAAGGCCUAGCCUGCUGGGCACUCACCUCUACCAAGGGCUCCUCCUGAAGCUCUGCUGCUGAGCGCCAGGAGACAACCAGCAUUGAGUAAGUAAGUCGGGGAGCCGCUUUGGGACAGUAAUUGCAAAUCACGGAGGUGUUCUGUUACUGCCAAACCUGAUGAUCUUUAUUUAACUAAGCAGGUACUCAACAGGCAUUGAGUACUUUAGUGCUACUAAAUUAAUACUAUUUGUACUAUGCUACAAUAUUUCCCAGAAUACAUGGAACAUAUUGCAAGCAUUUUCAAAAUAUAACUAAAUAUAUAAAGAUACACUGCAUAACCUUAAAAAUAUGUACAAAGACUCAGGGGAAAGGGUGAAAUAUGAAAAUAACUUAUUCAUCAGGGUCACUGAAACCAUACUUUUCUGGCAUUAGAACUUCAAGCCGAAUUGAAUGAAGAGUUCUCUUCCCCCCAAAUGAAAAAGGCAGGACUUUCAGGGCUUUUGCCCAGAACAUACAAAAGCAUCAGUAUGAACUUCAGAAGUCUCUGGUGAAGAGACUUCAUGCAACAGGAAGGGUGGGAGAUAAGACAGGGGAGAUGGUGCAGCCUUGUCCGAUGGGGAUGUAUGGGCAGGCACGCAGCCACAGCUGCAGGGACCCAGAUAAGGUCUGGAGCUCUGCACAGAAGCCUUCAUGCAUUGAGAUUGAAUUUGAGAGCUUUUACAGAAUUAGAGAAAAAGACAAUCCAUCAGCAGUAGUCUAAAAAUGAGAAUUGCAGCUGAAGAGGUAUUUCAAAAAUAACAUUUAAUAUUAUUAUUAGAAUUACAUUCAAAUGUAGCAUUGAAUACAAUUAGCCAUUAUUUAAUGCUCCAUAUUUAAAGUUCUGCUGUUCUUUGGCAGUUAUCUUGGUUGCACCAACUGUAUUUUUCUUCCCUUCAGGAAAAGGAAACCUCUGUGAAUAAUUAAAUACUUUUCCCACUAUGUAUCAUGCACUGUUGCUAUGCUGUCUCAAAGCUGAAGUAUGAAAAAGAGAAAACUAAGCUUGAAAACAAGCAAAAACUACAUCACACAGCAAAGGCAUUUUCUCUCCAGUUCUUGCUACUGAGUUUGAAGCAAAAGUUUAUCAGAUGUAUCUACAGUGAGGUUAUACUGCUUUGGUAGUACAACCAUCUUCCUUCACAUGGAUUUAAAUGCAGUACUGUAAGAAUUAAAGUGAGUCCCGUGUAGAAAAGGAAUGAAGUUAUGCUGUUAACGAUACCUUUAAGCAUAUUCAGUGGCAAGUCUCUGCCAUCCAAGUAAGACUAAUUCAAUUGAGCCCAUUCUUUUUUGUUCAGAACCCUUUUUAUAAUGAUAAAAGAUGUGCAGGCCACUUAAAGCAGCAAUCUGCAGAAUCACAGAGCAAAGGCAAAAGCACACACAGAAGGCAAGAGAGAAGCAAGUGCUAUUUUCGCAGAAGGUAAGAUCAUCUUAGAGUUCCAAGCAGCUCAGUCACAGAUUCAAUUUUUAAUGCUUACCACCACAUCCUGGGUGGUAGGAUGGUGACGUUUGAUCUCAUGCACAUCUGAAGCCCUGACAGAUAGAAUGGGACAUUCACUUCCAAAGGGAAUGGGAAAGGGAACCAUCUAAGUUAGUGCUUUAUCACCUUUUGUUAGCGAGUAAACUAAGUGAAGACACAGGUUUAGACCUUGGAGGAGAACGUAAAGCAAAAGGUUUAGUAGCAGAAAGUUGUCCUAGAUUGUUAACAGCAAUUCAAUAGCAUCUCAUGAUUUUAAAAGUAGUCCCUAAGCAUGGAAUGCAACCACUCGCCAGAAAGCUAAAAGUCAAACUACCAGGUCAUCCUGAGUAUUAGCAAUAUUAUUAAAAAGAAAAUCCUUGAGCUUAUGUAAGCAAUUGACAAAAUUAUUUAAAAAUAUCCUGUUCCAAUUUUCAAAUGAUGCAUAAAAAGGAUUUUUUUUCCAUUUGUGCUUAUUCCAACAGCAUUAGAUUGUUAAUAAAUUAUAUUAAUACAAAUAAUUCACAUCCCUAGUACUACACAGUAUCACAUCUCAUUCUAUCGCUUUCCUUAACAGUCAAAAUUCACAGAAACUUUAAAUUUAGCACAAGUCUACCACAUUACCUUCAUACAGCAUUACAGUUGUAAAGCAUGUUACUUAGCAUUUCAUUAUUUUAGUUUAUAAUCCAAAGAUGGAUUCAUACAUCUGUAGGUAAAAAACACUGCCAAAUAACCUUCCAUAUUUUUUUUUUUUUUUCAAAACUCACAAGAAAUAAAUAAAAAUCCCUGAUCUUACAACCUAACAUUAAACCAUUCAUUUGGCAUGUCCUUUAUUAUUAUUAUUAUUAUUAUUUUUUAAAUUAGGAAAAAAACACCAAUAAUGAUGGAAGUCCAACACCAAGCACAUUCACCUCGGUUGAGAUGUUUCAAAUAACACAAGUACCAGUCUGCAGCUUUGUCUUGUAACUCCAUUUCUGUGGAGGCAACAUUGUUUAAAUAAAGAAGCAGACAAAGCUUUUCAUCAUGAAAACUGUGAUAAACUUUCCCUUUCAAAGAAAUCAGCAUUGCAAAUCCAGUCAGAAAACCCAAUAUCAAAACCUCAAUGGAGUCCACCUCCUCAUGGAAAAAACGUUCAUCUAAGCUUUUUGGUGUACGUGUGGCUAUGGUGGUACUCAUCCACUAACUGUCAGAAGUGUCCUUCAGACAAGCAGCUUCACUGUAUGGUAGCACAACUAAUCACUGUCUCUUCCAGGUCCUGAAUGGUAGAAGCGGUGCAGAUCCAAAAGAAGCUGCACCCUGAACACUAUCGUAGUCAUGGCACUGUGAAUGACAUCCCUUCCUCCUAUAAUACGUAGGAACAGCCAAAUACAUUUAUUUGAAUAAAAAGUGUUUCUUAAAAAAUGAAUUUUCCUUCAAAUUAGGCUGGGGGUUUACAGUAAUUUAUAUUUUUACAGGAUUAUCUUCAUUUAACUGCAUUUUGUAAGUUGCGAGAUGAUCUUAGCCACUGAAAGAACAAAGUUCUUUCAUUUAAGAACUGAAUUAGAAUAUUCUUUGAUUAGUCAGCUAAUUAAAAUGAAAAGCCCUCAAGGUAGUGUAAAUUAUAAAAUGUUACUGCAUAGAUUGGUCAUUUGCACAUGUACAUGUCUUUUAUUUAGGAAUCACUAAUCCUGAAGAGCACUCUUAUAAUACAAAGCUGAAAUUACAAACAUGGUAAGUCUGCAGUUCUUUGCGUAGUAAGGCUUAUAAAAUAGAUCUGUUUGAAACUUAAAUUACCUGUUUACAAGAUGCUAAGUUUUAGGAUCAGUUAAAGGAAGAAGAAAUAGAAGGGGGGUUUUAACUUCAAGACAUGGCUUUUCUGCAAACUGAUUGUACACUGACAUGCAAAUUUACUUUCAGAUCACAAUUCCAAAAGUAGUGUAAAAUACUUACUUGAGAAAUUACUGGAUAAAUGGUACAGUUGCUACUUUCACCAAGUUAAAAAUCUUCUACCAUUAUUUACAAAUCUCUUUAAUCCUUUGCAAGGAAAAGAAGUAAAAGAAUACAGUAACAGUGGUAAAUUACCACCAAGCUGUACAUCCUCCUUCCUGCCUCCCCAGAACACAAAGAAUCCUGCUUUUUAUCACCACUGGGAAGCUUGAAUUAUUGAAGUACAUCCCAUAAGAGCUGGAAGAAAACCUAAAACGUAGUUUUAAAAUGGGAGAAAA